rnacentral:lncRNA from 1 species
CCUGCCUUCUUCUGCUCCCAUGCUUUUCUUGUUUCUACGUAAAUAACUUCACCCCUCUUCUCACAUUCAGCAGUUCUAUUUUCUUGCUUUUUUUCUAUAAAAUCAGACCAAUACUCUCUUCUAAGACUCCCCCUUUACACUUUCUAUUUCUUUAACUGUCACGAUCCAAAAUCUCACCACAGGAGUCGUGAUGGCACCUAGUCUCUAAGACUAGGUAAGUUGAUUUUCAUUGCAUUUUUUUGAAGCUAUUUUUUUUUUUGAAUUAAAUAAAUAAUCAAAACUAACAGCGAAAAUAAUUACAAUAUACAACCUCCCAAGACUGGUAGUACUGAGUCACGAACUCUAAUUAAAGACAUAGAAUGAUCACGAGAACCGAAUAUACAAUACUGUUUGAUUACAAAUUAACAGUACAAUGAAAUGAAAAGACUCCAAGGGAUUGCGACAACCAAGCAGCUCUACCUUGAAUCCUUACGAUCCCGCUUUAACUUUGCUCAAGUCUGUUAUCUUCAAUACUUGGUUCUGCACAAAAAGGUGCAGAAGUGUAGAGUGAGCACACCACAGCGGUGCCCAGUAAGUAUCAAAACUAACCUCAAUGGAGUAGAGACGAGGUACAGUCAAGGCACUCGCUAGUCUAAUAACCUGCGCAAUAUAGUAUACAAAAUAAUAGAAAAUAAAUAAUCAUAAAGGCAGGAUAAAACAACCAGUGAUAUGCACAACAGACAACAAGAAUACCAUUAAUAUCACUCAACAAUUAAUAAACACAAUUACACCUAAUUAAAUCAAACCCUUCAAAUAAAUGUCUUUCACAUAGUUCUUCCAAAUAACUCUCUUUCAAAUAUAAUUUUCUCAAAUAAUUAUUUUUCAAAUAUAAUUCUUUCAAUAAAUCUUUUCAAAUACAAUUUCCUCAAAUAAAUAUCUUUCAAAAUACAAUUCUUUUAUAUAAUACUUUCUAAGUUAAAAUCCUUCCAAAUAAAUAUUUUGAAUAUAAUUCUUUCAAUUAAAAAGUCACCAUGUGACACCUCAUUUCAAAAUCAUCAAAAUACGGGUCUCAGUCCAUUUUCAUAUUUUUCGUAAAUACGGGUCUCAGCCCAUUUUCAUAUUUCAACGGCACCUCGUGCCCAUAAUUAAAUUAUCAUAUCUGUCCGGCACCUCGUGUCCUCAUUUCAUAUCACAACUGCACGGACAAUUCACGUGCCAAAUAUCAUUAUCAUUUCAUCACAGCACCUCGUGUCGAUAUUUUAUAUCACAACUGUACGGACAAUUCACGUGCCAAUAUCCCCAUUUCAUAUCACACUUCACGGCACAUCGUGCCCACAUUUCAUUAAACCGCCUGGCAAUAGCCACAGGCUCCCAUUUCAACAUAAAUCAGAUUAUUAUCAAUUUACUAACAACAAGACAAGUUUCACAAGGUAUAAAAAUAAACACAAGAAAAUCACAACAUCACAUGAAAAUUGUCAACACCACAACCCCACAUCAUCACAUAUCGUUCCUGACAAUAGCCACCCUUAUCGCUCCUAUUACCACCCUUAUCGCUCCGCCCAGACAAUAUCAAUAGCCACCCUUAUCGCUCCUAUAGCCACCCUUAUCGCUCUGCCCAGACAAUAUUCCAACAAACACAACAGUGAAAUACCACCUUUAUAACCACAUAAUAUCAACGGUGAAAUGACACCCCUAUCUCCCCAAAAUAACAACUCACACAACACAACAAUUUACACGGAAAAUUAUCACAGCAACAUAAUAAAAUCAAUUCAUAUCACAAUUUGCCCAAUGGCCACAACCAAAUUCCAAAGAUAUGACAAAAUUAAUUAAUUUCACAACAAAUAGCCGAAGGCUCCACACAAUGCAUAUAACACCCAAAAACAAUCAAUGGAGAUAGAAAUUACUCAGCAUAAAGUAAAACCUUCAUUAAUGCAAACUUAAAUAAUUAUAUAAUCACUUAUUCUUAAGCUCGCUUAAAUUAAUUAUUUGCAUAAGAAGAUUCAUAUUGGAAUUAAUUUCCAAGAAAUAUUAAACCAACAAUACUCAAAAAAUUUCAUAAAUAUUUAAAGUAACAAUCACAUCAACUUAUCAUAUAAAAACAAAUUCAACAAUAAAGAUUUAGGCAUGUCAAACAGAUAAUUUAAUAAUUUUUCAUAAUUUUCCAAUUUACUACAAAAUAAUGCCUAAUACUUUAAUUCAAUGAAUUUUGCACGUAUAAGCCCGAGUACGUACUCGUCACCUCACGUACACGGCUUUUCAUAUUUCACAAAUGGCAUAUAAGACUCAAUGCCUAAGGAGUAAUUCCCCCACUCGAGGUUAAGCACGAUACUUACCUUUUUGAAGUUAGGCUGAUAUUCUAAAAUAGCCUUCUUGCUUGAAUUGGCCUCCGGACAGCUCAAAUCUAUCCAAAUUAAUUGUAUAACUUCAUUAAAAUUUAUCGAAAAUAAUUUCGGAUAAUAAUACGUCGACUUAAAAUUUUAUUCCAAAAAGUCAACAAAAGUCAACGCGGGGCCCGCCCCUUAGAAUCCGACAAAAUUUUCAUGAAAUCUGAACAACCAUUCCGAUACGAGUUCAACCAUACCAAUUUUCUCGAAUUCCAAUAACAACUCGACCUCCAAAUCUUAAUUUUUCGUUUUCAAAUUUCUAAGUUCAAACCCCCGAUCUAUACCUCAAAAAUAUGUAAUCUAAUCGGAUUAUUCGAUGAUAAUUCAAUAUUAUGGAGUAAAAAUGAUCACAAGGGACUUACCUCAAGUUUUUCCGUGAAAACCUUGCUCAAAAAUCGCCCAACCCGAGCUUGAAAUGCCCAAAAAUGGCAAAAGCUCGGAACCCCUCUAUUUUUGUAUUGCCCAGGGGUUUUCGCAUCCGCGAUGAUUUCUUCGCACCUGCGGCUUCGCAUCCACGGCGAAUUUUUUGCACCCGCGGCCUUCGCAUCUGCGGCCAAGUUUUCGCACCGGCGGCCUUCGCAUCCGCGGUAAAUUUUUCGCACCCGCGGCCUUCGCAUCCGCGGCAUAUUUUUCGCACCCGCGGUGCCUGGCCAGCCCAUGAAUUUUCCGCUUCCGUGACUCAUUUCUCGCAUCCUCGAGCUCGCAUCUGCGGCCCUUUUUCGCGCAGGUGCGAUCAUACCAGAUGCCCAGCUGCUUCAACUCAUCCUCCAAAUCGAAAUUCGAUCCGUUAGGCAUCCAAACUCACCCGAGGCCCCCCAAGACCCCAACCAAACAUAUCAUCAAGUCCUAAAAUAUCAUACAAACUUAGUCAAAUUCUUAAAUCAUAUCAGACAACAUCAAAACGACGAAUCGCACCUCAAAUCAAAAUCUAUGAACUUUGAACUUUCAAAUUCUUUAUCUUGUGCCGAAACACAUCAAAUCAAUUUGGAAUGACUUUAAAUUUUGCACACAAGUCAUAAAUGACAUAACAGACCUAUUCAAAUUUCCAAAAUCGGAUUCCGACCUCGAUAUCAAAAAGUCAACCCCCCGGUCAAACUUUCCAAAAAUUCAACUUUCGACAUUUCAAACUUAAUUCCACUACAGACCUCCAAAUAAUUUUUCUGACACGCUCCUAAGUCCAAAAUCACCAUACGGAGCUAUUGACGUCAUCAAAAUUCCAUUCCGGAGUCAUUUUUUUUUUCAAAAGUCAACUCUCCGGUCAAUUCUUUCCAUUUAAGCUUCAAAUUAAGGAUUGUUCGUUUAAUUAAAUUCCGAAUCUUUAGUAAAUCAAACUCGACCACACCCGCAGGUCAUAAUACAUAUUGCGAAGCUGCUCGAGACCUUAAGUCAUUGAACGGGGCGUUAAUUCUUAAAACGACAAGUCGGGUCAUUACAUUAACUUCUCCAAAGCUCACAUGUAAUUUUGAGUUUUUCAUCUUAAAUCUUAUUGUUGCCUUCUCUCCCCUUGUUAUUUAUCACAUCAAACACCUUCUCGACUUCACUAUCAACAAUUCAGAAUAUAAAAAUACAUGAAAAACCAACCAUAUAGAUUAGAUAUAAGCAAUUCACAAAAUCAGAAGGGGAAAUUUACCUCUAGCGAGUAGUAGUGCUAAAGUUUCAGCAGUGGUACAUUACUUACUAACCUUUGUCCUACUCAAACCUUUUCACUUUUAUUAGAUCUAGCUAGUUGAACUCAAAAAAUUAAACAAAACAAAUGUUCUAUAUCAUAAACAAACUAAUCCAUCCAUAAAGACUACUACUUAUCAAAGGACUACUACUUGGGAAAGAUAAAAACAAAACACGCCCCUAUUAAUCCAUCGAUUGUAUACACUGAAUUAGAUACUCGAUAUGACACACCUAUAAUCUGUGAAUAAAUUUAAGAAAUAAUUAACAUACAUAAUUUUGAAUACGAAAUAGUCUUAAAGGUUCAAAACAACCAACCAGAUAGAAUACUAUCAGAUAUAGGCCGAGAAGUUUCUAUAUACAUGUUGACCUUUAUCCUACUCAAACCUUUUCACUUUUAUUAGAUCUAGCUAGUUGAACUCAAGAAAUUAAACAAAACAAAUGUUCUAUAUAUCAUAAACAAACUUAUCCAUCCAUAAAGACUACUACUUAUCAAAGGACUACUACUUGGGCAAGAUACAAGCAAAUCAUGCCCAUAUCAAUCUAUCGGUUUUAUAUACCAAGUUAGAUACUCAAUAUGACAUACCUAUAAUCUGUGAAUAAAUUUAAGAAAUAAUUAACACACACAAUUUUGAAUACGAAGCAGUCUUGAAGGUUCAAAAGAACCAACCAGAUAGGAUACCAUCAGAUAUAUGUCACGAAGGUUCUAUAUACAUGCUGACCUUUAUCCUACUCAAACCUUUUUACUUUUAUUAGAUCUUGCUAGUUGAACUCAAAAAAUUAAACAAAACAAAUAUUCUAUAUCUUAAACUAACUGAUCCAUCCAUAAAGACUACUACUUAUCAAAGGACAACUACUUGGGAAGGAUAAAAGCAAAACACGCCCAUAUCAGUCCAUCGAUUGUAUACACUGAGUUAGAUACUCGAUAAAACACAUCUAUAAUUUGUGAAUAAAUUUAAGAAAUAAUUAACAUACACAAUUUUGAAUACGAACCAAUCAUAUAGGAUAUCAUCAGAUAUAUGCCAAGAAGAUUCUAUAUACCACCAUCUUAAAAAGAGGUUCUACAUACCACAAUAACAAAUAUUACAAUGGAAAUAAAAAUAAAUUCCAGUAAAUUGGAGUGAUAGUUCAGUUGUUUACCUAACAAAUAGGUUAUCUUCAGUAUAUAAAUAAAAAGGUUGCCCGGUGCACUAAACUCUCGCUAUGGCGGGGUACGAGGAAGGGCCGGACCACAAGAAUUUUCAGUAUGUGAAUGAACUUCACAAAUAUGUGGGGCAACACUGCAGGUGUUAAAACCAAAAGAUCUGAAGCACCUCCUUUAGGUAUAUUUUAUUAGCGGGAUGGACAUCACCUUGGUUUACACAAAAAUAAAAGACAUUAUUUACCAUAAAAGAAUGCUUACUUUGUGAGAAUCAUUGGUUUGAUAAGCCUUCUCGAUUUUCCUUCCCAAUUCCAUCAAACGUAAGAACCAAUCUCACUCAAUUAAAUAAGGUAAAUUAAAACAUUGUUAAAGUCUGGCCUUUCUGCAAUUUUUUAGAUAACCUCUUUCAGCUAGUAAUAUAGGCAAUAUUUGUUAUCUAUACAUCAUUUCGUUUCACCUACUUCAUGUGCUUCUUCUCUUUUUCGCUUUUCUAAGGCCUUACCUACGCCUUCACCAUUCAAGAAAAUAAGAGAAAAAGGGGAAAAACAAAAACUUAGAUAAAGAUCAGAAGGUGAAAAUUCGACCACACACACACACAUUAUGGGUCGAUGUGAUCAUGAAAAUAAUGGAUCAAUGAGAUAUCUUUGGACUCAGAUAGAGAAGAUGAUUGACCCUGUGACGGAGUUUUUGGGGCCAAAAGUUGGUUUAGAGUAAGCUUUCGUUUGGGAAAAUUUAAACGUAAAGAGAAAAGGGAUUUUAAACUAAACAUUGCAAAAUUAAAACGAAAUUGAGGAAGUAAAUUCUUCGGAGAACAUAAAAAAGCACAGAAGAAAUAAAUUAGGGUAUUACCUGGAAAUUGUUCUUCGUAAGUAGAGAGAUGCGAAGCGAAUUGUUCAACGCCAACUUCAUCUCCUCCGCUUU